rnacentral:tRNA from 2 species
CGGUGCAUCCAGCGCUGCAAUUUUGUUCGGGACGAAGGGGUCGGAGGUUCGAAUCCUCUCACACCGACCA